rnacentral:misc_RNA from 1 species
ACCACCUGUUGUUGCCGAUCUAAACGGUGACGGGAGGAAGGAAGUGCUUGUCGCUACUCAUGAUGCCAAAAUUCAGGUUUUGGAACCACAUUCUAGGCGUGUUGAUGAAGGCUUCAGUGAAGCACGGUUGCUCGCGGAGGUGUCCCUCUUGCCAGACAAAAUUCGUAUUGUCUCAGGAAGACGAGCGGUGGCGAUGGCCACUGGUGUGAUAGAUAGGAACUAUAAUCACAGGGAGCCUCGAAAACAGGUCCUAGUUGUUGUUACCUCAGGUUGGUCUGUGAUGUGUUUCGAUCACAAUCUCAAAAAGCUAUGGGAGGUCAACUUGCAGGAGGAUUUUCCACACAAUGCUCAUCACAGGGAGAUAGCAAUUUCCAUAAGUAAUUAUACUGUAAAGCAUGGAGAUUCAGGUUUGGUGAUUGUUGGCGGACGGAUGGAAAUGCAGCCUCAUAUGCAUAUUGAUCCAUUUGAAGAGAUUGAAAUGGCUGAGAAAAGUGCAGAGCAGCAUAGAAGAAGUGCUGCUGAGAAGGAGGCAUCUGAGAAUUCAGGAGUUGUGGAUUUACGCCAUUUUGCCCUUUAUGCACUUGCUGGUCGGACCGGCCAACUACGUUGGAGCAGGAAGAUAGAGAAUAUUCAGUCGCCAUCUUCUGAUGAAUCUCUUCUGAUUCCACAACAUAAUUACAAACUUGAUGCUCAUGCUUUGAACAUUCGUCAUCCUGGGGAGUACGAAUGUCGGGAAUUUAGAGAAUCUAUUCUUGGAGUUAUGCCACAUAACUGGGAUCGGCGAGAAGACACCAGGUUAAAGUUGGCACACUUCAGGCAACACAAAAGGAAGGCGGUUAAGAAAGUACCUGGGAAGUCCACUACUUACCCUUUCCAGAAGCCUGAGGAAAAGCAUACUCCUGGGAAGGACACUACCAAAAGAAUCUCAAAUGCUAUAGGAAAGGCAGUAAAUUAUGCAAAAUCGGCAAAACCCAAAAAGCCUUCGCCCUAUAUACCUACUAUUACCAAUUAUACCCAGCUCUGGUGGGUCCCUAACGUUGUCGUGGCUCAUGAGAAGGAAGGAAUUGAAGCUGUUCAUAUAGCAACGGGACGUACAGUGUGCAAGCUUCACCUCCUAGAAGGCGGGCUUCAUGCAGAUAUUAAUGGCGAUGGAGUGUUGGACCAUGUCCAGGUUGUUGGGGCCAAUGGUGCUGAACAGACUGUUGUUAGUGGAUCAAUGGAGGUGCUGCGUCCCUGUUGGGCUGUUGCCACCUCUGGUGUUCCAGUGCGAGAACAGCUUUUCAAUGCUU